ACGGGAGGCAGCAGUGAGGAAUAUUGGUCAAUGGUCGGAAGACUGAACCAGCCAUGCCGCGUGCAGGAAUGAGGCCCUAUGGGUCGUAAACUGCUUUUGUGGUGGAGCAAUAAGGCGUACGCGUACGCCGAUGAGAGUACAUCACGAAUAAGCAUCGGCUAACUCCGUGCCAGCAGCCGCGGUAAUACGGAGGAUGCGAGCGUUAUCCGGAUUUAUUGGGUUUAAAGGGUGCGUAGGCGGACUGACAAGUCAGGGGUGAAAGCCCGGUGCUCAACACCGGAACUGCCCUUGAUACUGCCAGCCUUGAAUUCGGAUGCCGUGGGAGGAAUGAGUAGUGUAGCGGUGAAAUGCAUAGAUAUUACUCAGAACACCGAUUGCGAAGGCAUCUCACGAAUCCGACAUUGACGCUGAGGCACGAAAGCGUGGGGAGCAAACAGGAUUAGAUACCCUGGUA
rnacentral:rRNA from 1 species